GAAAAUCUGUGGCGGAUGCACCCAGCAGUAUGCUCAUUAAUCGAGAAAGAGCAUGCCUCCCAUUUUCUUCACCGGUAAAAUUCUGAGGUGCUGUACAAAGACUUUCAAAAUACCAGCCUGGAUGGAAUGAAGAAACAGAAUCAAUGCACAGUGGGCGUUUGAGGGGUUUGCAGGAUUUGGGGGCCUCUUCUCUCUCUGAGGGGAGGAUGCGAUGAGGUAGGGCAGCUAGCUGCAAGCUCCUGGCAGGAAUUCAAGGGCGAUGAACGCAGACAAGGAAACAUAGAUUCAUCGAGGAGGCAGCCAAACAUCUCCAUAUGUCACUUUUCCAGUACAUUUGAGCUAAAAUGGCUGUGGAGUAUGUGGCCAAGUAGGUUAUGCUAGGGCUGCACAGGGAAGGGGAGAUUGUUUUCUUGCACGUGACCAAAGCCAGACGUGGACCAAUGCACGUGGGCAGGCUUGUGGCCACAGUAUGGAGCAUGGGCACCCCCAAGUGGCUAAUAGGGGAAAUGAUCGGGGUGUUGGCAUCCUGAAUCCAGCAGCAGUCCAGAAGCAUCAAAGACACUAGGGACUUCCAGAUGAUGCCUGAAUAAGGAAUGGUGAACAAAGAUGGAGGUGGGGGCUCUCACCAGACAGAGGUGCUCCAUCAUCAGCACCGGCCACACAAAGCAAGUCUGUGGAAUGCCAGGCCACGACAGUUGAGAAACAGUCCAUUGAAAAAAGACAAGAAGAAUUCUCCUAGAAGCCGCUGGAGGGCAGCCCUGGAAGCACCCUGACUUUUCCAUUAUGGCUUCUAGAACCGGUUUCUCCGUGUAGCUUUGGAGCCUG